rnacentral:rRNA from 1 species
UACGUAGGCAGCGAGCGUUGUUCAGAGUUACUGGGCGUAAAGAGUGCGUAGGCGGUCUUCUAAGUUUGGUGUGAAAUCUCCCGGCUUAACUGGGAGGGUGCGCCGAAGACUGGAAGGCUUGAGUGUGGGAGAGGUAAGCGGAAUUCCUGGUGUAGCGGUGAAAUGCGUAGAUAUCAGGAGGAACACCUGCGGUGUAGACGGCUUACUGGACCAUAACUGACGCUGAGGCACGAAAGCGUGGGUAGCAAACAGG